rnacentral:rRNA from 1 species
AUUGAACGCUGGCGGCAGGCUUAACACAUGCAAGUCGAGCGGGGGAAGGUAGCUUGCUACCGGACCUAGCGGCGGACGGGUGAGUAAUGCUUAGGAAUCUGCCUACUAGUGGGGGACAACGUUUCGAAAGGAACGCUAAUACCGCAUACGUCCUACGGGAGAAAGCAGGGGACCUUCGGGCCUUGCGCUAAUAGAUGAGCCUAGGUCGGAUUAGCUUGUGGGUGAGGUAAUGGCUCUCCAAGGCGACGAUCCGUAACGGGUCUGAGAGGAUGAUCAGUCACACUGGAACUGAGACACGGUCCAGACUCCUACGGGAGGCAGCAGUGGGGAACAUUGGACAAUGGGCGAAAGCCUGAUCCAGCCAUGCCGCGUGUGUGAAGAAGGUCUUCGGAUUGUAAAGCACUUUAAGUUGGGAGGAAGGGUUGUAGAUUAAUACUCUGCAAUUUUGAUGUUACCGACAGAAUAAGCACCGGCUAACUCUGUGCCAGCAGCCGCCGUAA